CCAGGAUUUCACAUGACUGUAACAGGGCUCAAAAAAGAAGCAGAUAAGUUGAUAAAGGAUAGGUCUCUCAAUGGCUGUUAGCCGAGAUGGGCCGGGAUGGGGUCCCAGGCCUCUGUUUA